rnacentral:rRNA from 1 species
GACGAACGCUGGCGGCGUGCUUAACACAUGUAAGUCGAACGGAAAGGCCCUGCUUGCGCGGUACUCGAGUGACUAACGGGUGAGUAACACGUGGGUGAUCUGCCCUGCUCUUCGGGAUAAACCUGUAAAACUGGCUCUAAUACCGGAUAGGAGCCAUUUUUAGUGUGAUGAUUGGAAAGUUUUUUCGGUGUAUGAUGAGCUCGCAACCUAUCAUGCUUGUUGGUGGGGUAAUGGCCUACCAAGGCGGUCGACGGGUAGACGAUCUGAAAGGGAGGACAGACACAUUGCGACUGAAAUACGGCCCAGACUCCUACCGGAGGCAUCAGUGAGGAAUAUUGCACAAUGCUCCCAAGCCUGAUGCAACCACGCCGCAUGAACGAUGACGGACUUCAGAUUGUAAACUCCUUUCGCUACUCACGAAUCUUAUUGUGACGAUACCUAGAUAAGAAACACCGGCUAGCUACGUGCCCUCACCCGAGAUAAUACGUAAGGUGCGAGCCUUGUCCCGAAUUACUGCGCAUAAACGGAUCGUAGGUGGGAUGUCUCGUCGUCUGGCAAUUCCAGGGCUUACUCCGGGCGAGCAGGCGAUACGUGCAUAACUUGAAUACUGCAUGGGUAACUGGAAUUCCUGGUGUAGCGAUGAAAUGCGAAAAUAUCAGGAGGAACACCGAUGGCGAAGGCUUGUUACUGGGCAGUUACUGACGCUGAGGAGCGAAAGCAUGGAUUAGCGAACAGGAUUAGAUACCCUGGUACUCCAUGCCGUAAACGGUGGGCGCUAGGUGUGAGGGUCUUUUCACGACUUUCGUCCCGUAGCUCACGCAUUAAGCGCCCCGCCUGGGGAGUACGGCCGCAAGGCUAUAAACUCAAAGGAAUUGACGGGGGCCCGCACAAGCGGCGGAGCAUGUGGAUUAAUUCGAUGCAGCGCGACGAACCUUACCUGGGCUUGACAUACACUGGAUCGCUGCAGAGACGUAGUUUCCCUUUGUGACUGGUGUCCAGGUGGUGCAUGGUUGUCGUCAGCUCGUGUCGUGAGAUGUUGGGUUAAGUCCCGCAACGAGCGCAACCCUUGUCUUAUGUUGCCAGCAUUUGGUUGGGGACUCAUGAGAGACUGCCGGGGUCAACUCGGAGGAAGGUGGGGAUGACGUCAAAUCAUCAUGCCCCUUAUGUCCAGGGCUUCACACAUGCUACAAUGGUCGGUACAACGCGCAGCGACACUGUGAGGUGGAGCGAAUCGCUGAAAGCCGGCCUCAGUUCGGAUUGGGGUCUGCAGCUCGACCCCAUGAAGUCGGAGUCGCUAGUAAUCGCAGAUCAGCAACGCUGCGGUGAAUACGUUCCCGGGCCU